rnacentral:piRNA from 1 species
UAAAUUGUGGUGAAUGGUAUUGUGCACUGU